CCUACGGGAGGCUGCAGUGGGGAAUAUUGGACAAUGGGGGCAACCCUGAUCCAGCCAUGCCGCGUGUGUGAAGAAGGCCCUCGGGUUGUAAAGCACUUUCAGUGAGGAAGAAUGCCUGGUGGUUAAUACCCAUCAGGAAAGACAUCACUCACAGAAGAAGCACCGGCUAACUCCGUGCCAGCAGCCGCGGUAAUACGGAGGGUGCGAGCGUUAAUCGGAAUUACUGGGCGUAAAGCGCGCGUAGGUGGCUUGAUAAGCCGGUUGUGAAAGCCCCGGGCUCAACCUGGGAACGGCAUCCGGAACUGUCAAGCUAGAGUGCAGGAGAGGAAGGUAGAAUUCCCGGUGUAGCGGUGAAAUGCGUAGAGAUCGGGAGGAAUACCAGUGGCGAAGGCGGCCUUCUGGACUGACACUGACACUGAGGUGCGAAAGCGUGGGUAGCAAACAGGAUUAGAUACCCUUGUAGUC
rnacentral:rRNA from 1 species